UUCUUUCGGUGCAGUUUCACUUUCCAGUUCCUGGCAUUGGCUUGGCUGCUCCUCAGCAGGGCUGGAUACACACCAGAGACCGGGAGACCUCUCCAUUGAGCUGGACAGAUUUCCCUGCAGCUUCCCUGUGUGUCCCUCAAACAGCCAGGCUGAGCCUUGUCACUUUGGCCAGUGACAUCUGAUGCUCUCCUGACUGCAGGGCCAGCCUUCAUCUCCCACCUUCACCCUCUGAAGGACAAACCCACGGUCCCCACCCUUGUCACCCACGUCUCUGCAGCCCCUGCCCUGCUCCCAUGCUGGUGGGUGAGUCAGUGAGGACUGAGCAGAGCUGCGGAUGGAAAUUGCACCUACACAUCCACCCUGGGUGCUUCUUUCAGCAUGGAUAACCACAGCAAUAAAGGAGAGUCUGUUUUCUUGCAACAAGAGCUCUGGGUCUUCUCUCCUGGCCAUUUGCAAAGCAAAGGGAUUUGGAAUGUGAUGCUAAACUUCUGGAGAAUGCACAUGAGCAUGAUUAUGUGAUGGUAGUAAUGAUAUUAAACUUGAAUCUCAAUCUUUCAAACUACACAAACUGUUUGUCCUGUAAUCCAAUAAUUUUCAUAUAACUAUUUAGAAGGAUGAAUGUAAUUUUAAAAAAGCAGGCAUGUAACACAGGUAUACCUAUGUUCCCAGUUCUACUUCACAGAGAAAGGGUCAGAAGCACCCAAUAUCUAAAUGAAAUGUAUAAAAUGGCAAUUAUCUCUGUUUCAGAACAUGGUAUUGUUAUUUCUUUGCUAAAUACAGAUGGUUUCCAAGAAUC